rnacentral:misc_RNA from 1 species
GUGAAUCAUCAAAUUUUUGAACGCAAAUUGCACUCUCUUCGGAGAGUAUGCCUGUUUGAGGGUCAGCCUAAAAAAAAUCGACGUAGUCGCUGUUUCGCGGUGACAUUCGUCGGAAAUUGGGUCAUCUUAAACCUUUGGGUUUUUUAAGCGGCUUAAAAUUUUCUUUACGAUUCCACGAACGUUUCUAGGAUUUUCUUCUUUACACAGUUUAAGGUUUCGAUCUUUAUUUAG